GGUCUGCUGGUCUAGUGGUAUGAUUCACCCUUAGGGAUUUCUCCAUCUGGGUGAGGUCCUGGGUUCAAUUCCCAGGUAGACCC